rnacentral:sRNA from 2 species
ACUCAUCGCCCUCCUUGGGCGUUUCCUCCCUAGACUUGGGUCGCUCUCCGGAGCGGCCCUUUUUUUGCGCCCGC